CAGCUGUGCAUUGAGCACAAAGCGAACUAUUCUUUCGCCUUUUACUAAAGAAUACCGUGAGCUCGUUGCAUUUAAGCAGCAUACUACUAUUUUUGAAGGGUGAUUCCAAUAAUUGGAAACU